rnacentral:rRNA from 1 species
GUAUGAAUGGCCACACGAGGGCUUUACUGUCUCUUACUUCCAAUCCGUGAAAUUGACCUUCCCGUGAAGAGGCGGGAAUAUAACAAUAAGACGAGAAGACCCUAUGGAGCUUUAAUUAACCGACCCAAAGAGAUCUUACUAAUCAACCGACAGGAACAACAAACCUCUACCAUGGGCCGACAAUUUAGGUUGGGGUGACCUCGGAGAAUAAAGCAACCUCCGAGUGAUUUAAAUCUAGACUAACCAGUCGAAAGUAUUACAUCACUUAUUGAUCCAAAAACUUGAUCAACGGAACAAGUUACCCUAGGGAUAACAGCGCAAUCCUAUUUUAGAGUCCAUAUCGACAAUAGGGUUUACGACCUCGAUGUUGGA